rnacentral:rRNA from 1 species
UACGGGGGGGGCAAGCGUUGUUCGGAAUUACUGGGCGUAAAGGGCUGGUAGGCGGCCAACUAAGUCGGAUGUGAAAUCCCCAGGCUUAACCUGGGAACUGCAUCCGAUACUGGUCGGCUUGAAUCCGGGAGAGGGAUGCAGAAUUCCAGGUGUAGCGGCGAAAUGCGUAGAUAUCUGGAGGAAUACCGGUGGCGAAGGCGGCAUCCUGGACCGGCAUUGACGCUGAACAGCGAAAGCUAGGGGAGCAAACGGG